rnacentral:rRNA from 1 species
CAGUAGCCGCGGUAAUACGUAGGGUGCAAGCGUUAAUCGGAAUUACUGGGCGUAAAGCGUGCGCAGGCGGUUUGUUAAGACAGAUGUGAAAUCCCCGGGCUCAACCUGAGAACUGCAUUUGUGACUGGCAAGCUAGAGUCUGGCAGAGGGGGGUGGAAUUCCGCGUGUAGCAGUGAAAUGCGUAGAUAUGCGGAGGAACACCGAUGGCGAAGGCAGCCCCCUGGGCCAACACUGACGCUCAUGCACGAAAGCGUGGGGAGCAAACAGGAUUAGAUACCCGAGUAGUCCCUGUCUCUUAUAA